GAUGUUGAUAUCCUAAGAUACUGUAUGAUAUCCUAAGAUAUCAAUAUCUUAGGAUAUCAUACAGUAUCUUAGGAUAUCAACAU